GUGUCUCCACACUUCUGAUGACACCUUUAUUUUAAAAGCUGAUGUUCUAAGGUGAGAAGGGAGCCUCGUUGAGAUGUCAUGUUGUUUCAAGACGAGUUUUAAUUUAAGGCAUUUCCAAAAGUGGUAAGAAGCUCAUCUCUCAGAAUACAAUGUCCGCAGUAACUACCCGGGGAAUCCUUACCAGGAGGUUUCUGCAUGAUUUGGGUUGUGCAAAAUUCCUCUGUCUAUAUAGAAACAGAAAGGUACUCCUCUGCAGGUCUAUUUUCUCUUACGUACAAUUUAAGGGAAUGUAACUGUUUUCCAACUUUCUUAGCAGCAGAAAUUUUAAAAAACUAAAUUAUUCCCAAAGUCCUAAGUAAAAUCAAUGAAUGGCAUCCUCCAAUCACUUGGUUUUAAUGUACUUUAUUUUUGUAUUUUUAAACUUGACUUAUGGGGACGAACACCAUCGUUUGCUGAACACUUGAAACGUGAAGAAAGAGCCACAGAGUUGGCAGAACUAUUUGAAAAUGCUGUUGCCUAGCAUUAUCCAGUCAUUGUUGUUACUAUUGAAUUGAACAGAACUACUCACAAACUUUGGCAGUUUUAGUGAUACAUGGCGCUAAAGUGUUGGCUCCUACCCGCAGGUUCAAGCAAUUCUUCUGCCUCAGCCUCCCUAAGCAUCUGGGAUUACAGGCGUCCACCACCACACCCAGAAUCCAGGACAAGAAGAAUCUUUCAAGUGUUGCUAACCAGAACUGAGCAGAUCCAAGUAGCAACUGCAGCCAAGCCCUUACUCCCUGUAUGGAGAGACUAGAGAAAGCAUUCCCAUGAGUGGAUUAAAUGACAUUUUGCUAUCAGAAUUCACCACCACAUAGGAUACGGAUUGAAAAAGAAAGAUUUAUAAACUGUCUUGAAGUCAUGAGAAUGAGGCAGUGCGCUCUCGGUAACUUUCUUUAGGUUUUCUUUUCCUUGUUUAUCAUACAUGUAUAAAUAUGUAUUAAUGUUAAAUGUAGGAUGUAAUACACUCAUUUUGAAUGUUUAUUUUAGACUAUAAAUCAGAAGUUCACGACCACAACAUACCAAAUCAGACCUGGUAUACACAAUGAGAGUAUUUCAGGCAGGGGCUACAAACCUAUUUACCAAUAGGACCAGGCAGGCAAGACAGAUGCCUUAAACAACACUGCAUAAGGCAAUAGGAAACGGUGGGACCUGGAGCAAGCUGUAGAGUGCAGCCCCUACCCUUCUUAAAGGCGUUUACUUUAAAACAAAACAAACACUGUGCUGAACCGAACAGUCAGUCAGUUGAAUCUGGACCACUUUUUGGACCCCUAUGGAGGAACAAGCUUGAGAAAGAAGAUGCCCAUGAAAAACUGUUUUUCUUAUAAAUGGGAUGGAGGCUGACUUGAGAAAGGGGGUAUAGGCAAUAAAUAUAUUUGUUGUCUAACUUACAGGACUGGUGAGUGAUGAAAUAUAUACUUGCCUGGGGGGCUACAGAUCCUGGUUCUGGCAUUUUCUAGUUAUAAGUUUAAGACUAUUUAUCUAGCUAAAACCUUCUUCUUGAUGAUCAAAUAAAAGAAUCUAUUUGAAAUCUUUUAAAUAACUGUCAAUUGCUGUGUAAAUAUUAGUUACAUUCUUUUACACAUAGCUGAUGUUUAGUAAAUGCAGGUCUGGAGUAAGAUAGUGGGCAUCCACGAUGAGUGUCUGUUGCUCCUUUCACCAUCACCAUACCAACUUUAUUUCAAUAGGAGCUAGGCAAUAAGGUACACUUUUUUUUAAAUUGCAAGGCCAAAGAUUAUAUUAUCAGCUUUUUUCUUUUAAUUAUAACUCAUGGUUUUCAUUGCUUGGACCUCAUAUGACAAAGGGCUCGUUCUGGGCUAGUUCUUUUUCUUCCAUUCUGUUGUCAUCCAUUGCCUGUGAUAUCAUCAUGCUAUGAAAAAGGUGAUCUCAGAUAAUGAACUGCUGAUGAGGCUUAUUUGUGACAUUUAGGGAAAUAGAUUAAAGAGUUAUUAGACCACAUGCCAUGUGAUUUUCCUAUCCAAGAACGAAAAGACUGGCUACUACUGGAAAUGUGCACUAAGGGUCAUUCUUUGUUAAACAAAAAACAAUAGCAAACCAUAGAGAU
rnacentral:lncRNA from 1 species